rnacentral:ncRNA from 1 species
ACAGUACAAGCUGAGCAGGCGGCGGAGCAUCGUCUCCGCGUGGCCGGGCCUUUUGGCAGCAGGUUCCUACACCUGCGGGACAGGG